AUUUAAUGUUGUGUGUUCAUGUUUUAACAUAAUUUCUCGAUAUAUUUCACAGAAUAUUAAAGGAUGUUCACUCAGCAAGUUGACAUCAACAGUUGACACAAGAUCAAUGAGGAGUUCAGAAGAAUAACCACAGUUCAUCUGGAGCGAAACUUUUUGUCGAAAUUGGACAAUUGCACUACCAACUUUCUGGAGAUACUUGGGACAAAGGGCGGAGUUGCAGGAACCAAGACCCAUGCUGGAAUCACCCAGCCUGACUCGAAGAUGUAAACGUGAACAUUAGUAAAUUUGAAUUUCAAAGAAGUCAUUGAAGAGGACUAUGCUCAACAUGUCAUGAAGAUCCUUGUCAUCCAUGGAAAUGCAACACAGAAAGGCUUCACUCCUGACAAUCGUGUUCGUCGUCAGAGGGAAAAGAGGUUCUUGAUGACUGUCAAAGUGUGGCAAAGGCUUGCCUUCUGUUCAUGGGCUUCAUCUAUGCGUAUCCAAGUGUUGUUAAGCAACACCCAUCGUUUCAAAUUAAGUGUUGUUAAAUGACUAAAUGUUUGUGUUCUUAAAUUUCUUAUUGGCAGCACUGAUUUAGGAAUGUUUUGUCUGGCAAUGC